rnacentral:rRNA from 1 species
UGAGUAGGGAGUCUGAAUUCCUGUGUACGGUGAAAAUGCGAGAUAUNAGAGGAAAACGGUGCGAAAGGCGGGAAUCUGGGCUGUAACUGACAAUGAGGAGCGAAAGAUGGGGAGCGAANAGGAUUAGAUACCCCUGGUAGUCCAUGCCGUAAACGUUGGGACUAGGUGUGGGGGGAAUUNAAGUUCUCGCGCCGUAGUAA